GGCGACAUGGCCAAGCGGUAAGGC
rnacentral:tRNA from 2 species